GCGGCCGAUAUCUGAUUAGCUAGUUGGUGAGGUAAAGGCUCACCAAGGCGACGAUCAGUAGCUGGUCUGAGAGGACGACCAGCCACACUGGAACUGAGACACGGUCCAGACUCCUACGGGAGGCAGCAGUGGGGAAUUUUGGACAAUGGGCGCAAGCCUGAUCCAGCCAUUCCGCGUGAGUGAAGAAGGCCUUCGGGUUGUAAAGCUCUUUCGCAAGGGAAGAAAACUUAGAUACCAAUAUUAUCUGAGGUUGACGGUACCUUGAUAAGAAGCACCGGCUAACUACGUGCCAGCAGCCGCGGUAAUACGUAGGGUGCGAGCGUUAAUCGGAAUUACUGGGCGUAAAGCGUGCGCAGGCGGUUUUGUAAGUCAGAUGUGAAAUCCCCGAGCUCAACUUGGGAACUGCGUCCGAAACUACAAGACUAGAAUAUGUCAGAGGGGGGUAGAAUUCCGCGUGUAGCAGUGAAAUGCGUAGAGAUGUGGAGGAAUACCAAUGGCGAAGGCAGCCCC
rnacentral:rRNA from 1 species